AUGGCGCGGUGGUCGUCUCCGAAGGACCCGGCUCUGGAGGCGGCCCUCCGCCGCAACCGGCGCUGGAUCGUGAACAACCAGAUCAAGCGCCUCCUCCUCCGCUUCCCGUCCCGCUCCGCCCCCGUCCGCCUCCUCCAGUCCCGCUUCAAGACGCUCGACCUCCUCGGCCGCGCCGCCAACUGGCUCCGCAAGUACCCCUCCUGCUUCGAGCUCUUCACCGGCGAAGGCCCGGCCGGGAGCGGCGGUGAGCUCUGCUUCGGCUUCACCAAGCGGAUGGCGGAGCUCGUCGACGCCGAGGAGGCCGCCGUCACCGCGUCCGAGCCGGCCAUGGCCGACCGCCUCGCGCGCGUGCUCAUGCUCGCCCGCGGGCGCCGCCUCCCGGUCUCCAAGCUCGCCGCGCUGCGCGGCCCGCUCGGCCUCCCAGACGACUACCUCCUCCGCAUCCUCCCCGCCCACACCGACCUCUUCCGCCUCGCCAACCCGUACCCUCACCGCCGCAAUGCCGUAGAGCUGGAGCUGCUCCGAUGGGUCCCUUCCCGCGCGGUCUCUGCUGUUGAGGCCGCUGCCUCGGCGAGCAACUCCCUCCCGCGGUUCACCUGCUCGUUGCCGUCCUCUUGGGCCAAGUCCCACGACAAGAUGGAGGACUUCAACUCCACACCCUACAUUUCGCCCUACUCGGAGGACGGGGCGGUGCCUGGCACAGAGGCUGAGAAGCGUGCGGUGGCUGUGGUUCACGAGCUUCUUUCGCUCACCUUGUGGAAGAAGAUUUCGGUUAUGAAGCUAGAGCACUUCAGAUGGGAGUUUGGGUUGCCAGAAGACACAGCUAGGAUGCUGCUCCGGCAUUCUUGCCUCUUCUAUGUGUCGAAUCGGUACAAGAUUCACACUGCGGUGCUCCGUGAGGGUUAUGAGGGGUCUGAGCUGAGGGUGAAGGAUCCAGUGGUGGCAGCAAAGGAUAGACUCGGGGAACUGAUGCAGGAGGGUCUGCACGAAUUUAAUCAGCGGCGACGUGCUGUGAAUUUGGAGAAGAAGAGGAGGAAAGGUGAAGUUGAUGUGAAGAAGGAAGAAGAGGAGCUCGAAGAUGAGGCAGGGGCACUGUUGGAUAGUGCGGAGAAGAGGGAGGAAAGACGGAGGUUUUACAAGGUGUUGUUUGGUGAUGAUAACCGGUGA
rnacentral:rRNA from 1 species